AUAUUUAGAACUUCAACUACUAUGGAAAGUGAUAUCCUCCCUUGGAUUAGCACUAGCUCCUUUAAGAAAUCUCACUGGACUCGAUAAAUGUCUUCUUCCAUAUUACAGGCAUUGAGGGAAUAAUUUUCUUGUUUUGGGUAGUUUUUAAAAAACAUUAAAAGAAGGAAGGGACAGAUGUACCCCGAGGGGAAGCUGGGACCCCAAGGUAUAGAGAGGGAGGGAAAGAGAAACCUCCCUUCCUCAAAAGGGGGGUUCAAGGGAGACAGCAGCUGUAACGGGUUGGCUCAGAGAGAGGAGAGGAGGUUUGAAGAUUUUCCCCCCUUCUGCCUUCCCUCCUUAGCUAAAGCUGCUCUCCCCAAUUUGCUCUUGUCCCUCUUGUCCCCCCUUCACUACUCGAGACAAAAAGGUCUCCCUCCAUUCCGUUCACUCACACUCAGCUUGGGGAACAGAUAACUUUUAAUGUUAACUCACUCAGGUAAUACAAAAAGGAAUAAUAUGCAGGGAAGAAUGGAAAAGCGAAGUGGGAAAAGGGGUCCCUGUCUCUAAAUCCUUUUCCUCCCUCCUCAAGUUUGGGGGGGAACUCAGGCCUCGGCAGCCUGAGCCCCCUGAGAGAAAGUCAGGUUGACUCACCCCUGGGCCACAGGAGCUGAGGUAAAGUCUGCUCAGGUUUCUCUUCAGAAAGUCCCUUCAAUUUGGAAGUGUUGGGGGGAAAGAUUUCCAGUCACCAGCAGGAAAAAUGGAUAACCCUCAGGAGAAAGUCUUUAUCCACCUUCUCUCUUCAACGUCUCAAGACCGAGAGACCUCACUGCUCUCCAGCCAGUCUUCUCUCUUCAGGAUUCCACUCCCGGGGCCCCUCCCCCAUCGAGUGGAUCAUGGACAGAUAGGAAGAGGAAAUGGAUCUCAUUUUUGGUGAGAAAGUCUUAUAUUCUAUAUUUCCUUAGCUGACACAGUGUUCCAAUGAUUAUAAGCUAUAUUUUUAUUUUAAAACUCUUUUAUUAUUAUAUUUUUCUUGCAUUUGCAAUAUAUACUAUUUCAGCUUUUUUAUUUUUCUCUCCUUUUUAUAUUUGAAGCACAUGUCACCAGUAUUAAGAUUUUCUUUAACUUUUUGAUUUUGCAGUAAUAUAAGUUUAAAAUACAUUUGCUAUAAUGUCAAUGCAUGCCCCCAAAGCUUGAGAUUAUAAAAAUGAGGCCACUAAUUAUUUAAAAAAAUUAAUUAUUGGUCUUUGCUUAAUGAGUCUUCUGAUUCCAGGACAAGAUAUACGAAAUAGCCAUUGCACAGGGCCAAAGAAACCAAUCCAGGAAGGAUUGAUGCACUUCUAAGCCAAUACAAAGGACUUGAACCUAGUGUGAAGACUCAAGGUUGCGACGCACAUAGGCCUUCCUUGUAUUCAUACUCUUUGUGAAAAUACUUACAGACAAGUAUCCCCAACUUGGCUCCUACUUGGCUUCUAUAAUCUAGUCUCUUUUCUGUCUUUCAUAGUGUGGCAAACUUUCUAUAUUCCUGGCUACUGAAUGGUUAAAUGCAUCAUUGCUUAGAUCAUUUUAACUGGGUCCUGAUUCAAGGACCUGUUAUAGAUUUAUUUUUCCUUUACUUGGAAUUUUUACACAUAAGAUUUUGAUAGUCUAUAUUUUCAUCCAGAAAUUAUUUUUUCAUUGGGAUUUUUUCUGAUGUUUUUUUAAUUUCUCUUGCCAAUUGAUUCAUAUACCUCAUAACUCAUCCAUGCAUCCUUAAAUGAUCCCUGUUUUUUCCAAUCACCCUCUUCAAGGGGGGAAUGUAAAAAUAUUAUUAUUUUAAAUUGCAAAGUUUAAAUUCCUUUUGAGAAGAAUUUUAGGUUAAGAAACAUGAUACCUCUCCAAAUCCAGAAACUGAACUGUUUGGAGAAGACACUAUGAAGAUGCCUCCAGACUACAAGCUACACAAAAAGAUCAAGAAUGAACUUUGGGUAUGGUUGAUUGAACAUGUAUUUGUAUUUAUACUUUCAUGCCAAAGGGGACUGCCCCCUAACUGGCUUUUUGUCAAUGCAUCUAGCAAUUAUUGGUUUUGUUCUUUUCCUCUUAUCCUCAAAUUAUUGUAAUCUUUAAGUUGAUUAUGUUUUCAUGAUCCUUUUUGGGGAAACUUUUCCCAAUAACGAUCAAAUGGGGGAAUAUAAAAAUGGAGAUUUGAACCCUAGACUUCAAUCCCUGGAAAUCCUUGGCAGUUCCCAGAAUUCCCUAUAAUCUCACCUGAAUCCCCACCUGGACUGAGAUCAUAAUUUGUAUUUAAACUGACUGUAACACCUACUCCGCUCUCUUCCUAUUCUUGAAGAUUGCAAGGAUGUAGUGAGUACUGUGCAGGGGUUCUGAAUUUGUCUUUCAGCCAUGGGCACAUGGUUUAUUAGAUGUAGUGAGUACUGUGCAGGGGUUCUGAAUUUGUCUUUCAGCCAUGGGCACAUGGUUUAUUAUUUUGUAUUCUUGAUUUCUAAUAAUCUUAAUAAACCUCUAAAAAUAUAAUAAUUUUAGUAGAGAAAUUAAUUUACUGUUACAGGCUUGAGGUUUAAAUGGUUAUAUUUUGUGAAAAAAACUUCUCAUAGAAGCUUAAGAACUUAAGUUCUAGAUUUCUUAUCCAUUUUUUUGUGUGGGGUUUUGCUUAUAUUAUGUCCAAUGUAUUUCUUAGCUAAUAAUUUCAAAUGCUUGUGAUUUAAACAUUAGCAAAUGUCUGAGAGUUGUGUUACCAAUUAAUUCCUCCCAAAAGCUGAAGAGACUGGAGCUGGUGAUCUGGAUAUGGGAAUAUCCAGCAGGAGACAAAGGGAGGUCCAGAAAUUCUUAACUUUAAGGUCUAUAAUUUUUUCUUCCUAAAGUUUUGGUAUGGUUAAUGUAUGAAAUAUUGUGUAUGAAGUGCAGUUAAUAUUGGCAAUAAGAUGCAUUUCAUUCUAGGUAUUAACUUGGCUAUUUGAGGGCUAUAAUUUCACAUUUUUUUCCAGCUGUUAAUUGUUUUCAAAUAGCAAUUUUUUUUUUCUGAAAUGCAUGUGUGUAAGUUCUGAAGUAAAGAAAGUUCAUUUUAGGAUGGUCAACUACAGACCGACUGGGCAUUGAAUUGUUGUAAAGGACAAGAAAUAUUGGGGAAAAGGCAAUGCUUUAAAUGGUAAGGAAACCCUGGACAUUUUAAGUUUGUGUUUGGAGGAAAAAUGUUAUGGGUUUUAGUUUUUGAAAAAGUAAAAGGGUCAUGGACUAAGCUGAUUCUGGGAAUUUUUAAGGUAAAUUUCCAGAGUGCAAUCAUUACAAUAGAUAGGUUUUUUGUUUUAAAAGACCAAUGAAUACUGACAACUAAUUUUCCUUUUUAAGUGGAGAGAACUAAUGGUUUUUGGAACAUUAUUUCUGAUGAUCAUUGGCACAUGAUCGCUAAUAGAGAAAGGAAUUCCCCACAUGGGAAACUCCCAAGACAUUUCUAGGAACUCCCUGUAUUUACCACCCCAGUUCUGGAGUAUGGGUGAAGUGAUUAAAACCUAUUAAAGUUAAGUUUUACCUCAAGACGUUUCUUAGGAGCCAAAAGCCUGGACAAGAUUUUCCUGCAGCCUAGAAACUGAAGGAUUCCUGAAAAAGACAUUUACGAGAAAUCCAAAGGAGCCCCCAAGAUACAGAAUCCGGAUAAGCACUGCUUCUCAUCGUUUUCAUUGACUUAAAAAUAUUUCUGUAGCAGACAUAAAACUGGCCAUUUUAUUUCCCCUAAGAAUUUUUAUUUGCCCUGAGCAAAGUCUCUUUAAGUAGAGGACCUAGAAAGGACAGAGCUAUUCCCCAGAUUGAGUUGAAGUGGGAAAGUUUAAAUAGGAGCAUUUUACCUGGCUAAGAGGUUUGAAAGUAACAUCUGUUAAUUUGAGAAUUUGCAGCAAAGAUUCCAGAGUGCUAGUUGGUCUCAAAGUGGUAUCAGAAGUUAGGAAAGAAUGACGGAGCCUAGAAAUAAUUGUUAGUAAUAGAAGAUAAAUUUAUUUCAAAUCUGGAGUAGGGUUAGAGAGAAUUGCCAUCUAAGGGUGAAUUGUAUGGGAAAUUGGGAAAAGAAAUGCUAUGGAGGAAAUGAGUUAUUGAUACAAGGGUGAAGGAAAGGGCUAAGUUUCUGUCAAGUUCUACAGGUGACUGCUGAUCAUUGCCAAUUUAUGCAUGGCAUUAAUAUUCCAAAUUACGGGAACUUUUCUCCCUCAUUUUAAGUUACUUCCCACUUUUCUCCUGUUAAUAGCAAAUUUUCUGUAUGAUGAAAGGAGCCUCAGGAAGGCAAGUCAUAGAAUAUGGGAAUCCUGGAGGCAGAUAGAAAUUUUUAGCCAUCAUGAAUGAGUAAGCAAAUUCAAAGAGGCCCCUUUUUUCCUAAAUGGAAGAGUUUAGGUCAUAAGGAAAACCUGGCAAAAUAUCAGUGCCAAAAGUGGGGAAGCCUUGCACAUAAAUAAUAGUCUAAGCAGCAUUUUUAAUAUACAAGAUUCAGAUAGAACACUGAGUUGCUCCCUAGUACCAGUAAAGUUUAUACAUUUUGAAGCCUCCAGGCAGGAAACAGGGAGAUAAGAAGAAAACCUUUGUGACUAAGAAUGCUAAUCCAUUCACCUAUAGAAUUAGGCGGAAGUUCAAUGGUAAAUGAGUCCUUAUUGUCAAUGAAUAAAUACUCAGGAAAAUGAAAUAUGUAACCCAAAACUAAUUUAAGGCUACAGCUCAGACAAAUCAGAAGAGUUAUUUUAACAAAUUUUUAUCUACAGACUUUACAUUAGCUGACUCACUUGCAACAUUUUUUUCAUGCUAGGUAAUAGUUAAUAGAAGUAAAAAGCCUAAGUUAUUUAAGCAUGGUUAUGGUUGUUAAGUAGUUAAAGGUGAAUGAAAACAAGUUUCAAAAUCUCAAGCAUCUCAACCUCCCCAAAAAGGGGUGUGUGAGGUGUGUAUGAAGUUUUAAAGUUGAGGAAUAUUAGAAGCAUUUUUAAUCUUGAGAAUUCUCCACCUUGGCAAGAGUAAGGGGCAAAGAGCUAGUUUUGUUUCAUUAAAGUAUUUGUCCACAUUGGCAUCCCAAUAAGGAAGUUGUUAGAACAAUACACAAUACUAUCAGUUUUUGUGAUAACAUUGGAGAGAUCUUUCUGUUGCAUCCUGAGUUCUAAUAGGUUGAAUCCUUUGAAAAUACUUUGAAGUUUCAUUCUUCCCCUAUUGCCUCCUUUAGCUACCAUAUGCUACUUAAGAUAAAAGAAGGCUCUUCAGGCAAGCAAUUUUUGGCUUCCUCCCAAUGCCAUACUUUCUACUGAUGUGAGGCUUUGGGGACAGAUGGUUAAUUAUUUGUGGGAAAAACAGACUUAAUUCUCCUCAUUGUCAAGUGUCCAAGGGGAGGGGCAGCAGAACAGGUUAUUGGAGCAGAGCUCUAUAAAGGGCUGAGUUUUUCACCCCCAACAAAGGAGAAACCUCACCUUUCUCUGAAGCUGUGAAGAGGCAAUAAGUCAAGAAAGUCACAGCUCUGUAGGCCUCAGGUACUAGAAGGCCAGGGAUGGUGAAGGCUGAGGUUUCAGGUCUGUCCCAACCCCAAGGUGGAGGAUCCAGGCAGGGACGUGUUCAAGUCAGCUCAUAUUGGCUUCCAAUCAUUAAAUUUUUAGUCUAAGCAUUUACAGCAAGGAAACAACAAAUCCUAUAAAUCAAAACCCGAUUUCUUGUUUUGCUUAUUGCCUAGACUUAAAGAGAUGGGGAAAAUGUCAACAAUGUAGGUUAAACUUAAAAGUGUGUCUAUCAUUCAUUAUACAUGUACAUAUAGCACAACGUCUGUAUAUACAAUUAUGACACGUGCUAGAUGUACUUUUUAGCAUGUGAGUAUGUGCGUAUCUAUUUACUUGUGCAGAGAUGUGACUGUUAAACAUUUACUAACACACUCAUAGUGUGGAUCAAGAUUGAAGGAAGGUUCAGAGGGUUUCCUAGCCUAGGGUCAAGACCUGAGGAAGUGGUUUGGGAAAUGGGAAAUAAUGGUCUCCAGCCUCUCUUUGCAGUGACAAGUAUUUGCACUGAGAAGAUGAUGAUGUGGCUUUCUACAUUGCUGUUCCUAUUGUUGCUGACCAAAGAGGGCUGUGCUGGUCAACUUCUGCCCCUGCAUGCAGCCUGUGCUUAUUCCAAAGGAUGCAUACCUCAAAGCUGCAAGGAAAUCAAAGAGAAAUGUCCAGAGUCAGAUGAUGGCCUGUACUUCCUCCGGAGUGGGAAUGGGAACAUCUACCAGACCUUUUGUGACAUGAGUACUGGGGGAGGUGGCUGGACCCUGGUGGCCAGUGUGCAUGAGAAUCACUUGGCAGGGAAGUGCACCCAGGGGGAUCGUUGGUCCAGCCAGCAAGGUAACAGAGUCGACUACCCUGAGGGUGAAGGGAACUGGGCCAAUUAUGUCACCUUUGGAUCUGCAGAAGCUGCUACCAGUGAUGACUACAAGAAUCCAGGUUACUAUAGCAUUCAGGCCAAGGAUCUGGCCAUCUGGCAUGUGCCCAACAAGUCUCCCUUGCAGCAGUGGAGGAAUAGUUCUCUGCUGAGGUAUCGUACCAACACUGGCUUCUUCAAGGGUUUUGGAGGGAACCUCUUUGCCCUGUAUCAGAGGUAUCCAGUGAAAUAUGGGAUUGGCAAGUGUUGGACUGACAAUGGCCCAGCUAUACCCGUCACCUAUGAUUUUGGUGAUGCACAAACAACUGCCCGUUAUUACUCUCCACUUGGCCAGCAGGAAUUGGUUGGAGGCUUUGUCCAGUUCCGGGUAUUUAAUACAGAGAGAGCAGCCAAUGCCCUCUGUGCUGGAAUACGAGUCACUGGAUGUAACACUGAACAUCACUGCAUUGGUGGAGGUGGAUACUUUCCAGAAGGGGCUCCCAGGCAAUGUGGAGAUUUCUCUGCCUUUGACUGGAAUGGCUAUGGAACUCAUACUGGUUAUAGCAGCAGUCGGGAGAUAACAGAGGCUGCUGUGCUCCUGUUCUAUAGAUGACCAUUUUGACAUUCUGGAACCAGACAUUUGCAGAUUCAGGAAUGGAUAACUUCCCUUCUCCUCAAGAACCAAUGUGAGUGACAACUGUUUGCAUUGAGAAGAUAAUGAUGUGGCUUUCUACAUUGCUGCUCCUGAUGCUGCUGACCAAAGAGGGCUUUGCACAUGUCAGAAGAGUGCCCACAUCCUACCUCAAAUUUGAGACAGCUGCUUUCUGAGUUCUGAGACAAGUUCUGAGACAAGACAAGAGACAUGUGAACUGAAAUGACCUCCAGGAAUUGAUGCAGAGCAAAAGGAGCAGAACAAGAAGAAUGUUUUACACAGAGGCGGAUAUGUUAUGUCACAGUUGAAUGUAAGAGACGUGUAAUGAUCCAGGAGAACUCUGAGGGAUUCAUGAGAAAGAACACUCUCCACAUCCAGAGAAAGAGCUGUAGGACCAGUAAUGCAUUAGAAAAAUAUAUGAUUGACUACAUAGUGCAAUUGGGAUGUGAUUAAGGUUUUGAUGUGAAAAGAUCACUCUACUGGAAAUAUGAAUAACAUGGAAAUAGGUUUUGAACAAUGAUACAUGCAUAACUCAGUGGAAUUGCUUGUCGGCUUUGGGAGGGGGAGGAAAAAGAGGGGGUGAUUAUGAGACAUGUAACCAUGGAAAUAUAUUCUAAAUAAAAAUGACUUCAUGGGACGGAAUGCUUUAGAAAACGUGUCACAAUGGGAGUGAUUAGGGACAGCUAGACAGUUCAGUGGAUAGAGAGCCAGGCCUGGAGUGUGGAGGUCCUAGGUUCAAAUGUGACUUCAACAAAUCCUUACAUGGACCCCCAAACUGGACACCUUCUCUCUUGGGUCAAUCUAGGUAAGUCACUUAACACCACUUUCCUAGCCCUUUCCUUUCUUCUGCCUUAGAACCAAUACUUAGCAUGAUUUCUAAAAUGGAAGGUAAGGGCUUAAAAAAAUGAUAAGGAAUGAGAAUGAGCCCUGAUAUCUUCAAGAAGGACAGAUGAAACCAAGACCCUCUGCUCUGUGGUGGGAACUUGUGCAAACCAGUAACUGUAAGCAUUCUCUUUAUGUUUUUGAGACCCAAAUCUAUUCAUGCCUGUACAACCAGCCUGUGCUGCUUUAAAUGGAACCAUACCUCAGUGCUGAAAGGAAAUCAAAAUAUACUGUCCACUGUUAACUGGAGUGGAUAAGAGAAAGCAUAUGUAACCUACUGGAAGAAUGCUAAACUCAGAGCUAAUUAAGGUAGAUUCAAUUGUUCUGUCGCCAAUUAGCAGGGUCAAUAUAGGUAAGUAAAAAGUGAGACUAGGGUUCAAAAUCUAUACCAUGAGAACCAGAAAACAUGCAUUACCCAUCUCACUGAGUAGUGUUUAGGAAAUCUAUUUGCACUCUUAAAUAUUACACAAGGAGAAUGUUAUUAUAAUGCAGAAAAUAGUCUCCAUAAUAGGUUUCUCAUUAGGAAUUCUUGUGCCCUACUUCAGCUCAAAAACAUUCUCCGAGAUGGAGGAGAAAGAGAGUUUCUCUAGUAAGGAAAGUCCCAAGGCCAAGUCUGGGUGAGUCCUCAAAGUUUGUUCCUUUGUUUUGCCUUUUGAGGCCUCUUGGGCGAGAGAAGCCACAAGAUAAAAAGAUAGAGGAAGGAUAGAAGUUUUGGAUACCGCGAGGGGCGUGGCGGAGCCAAGUUGCAGAUAUGAGAUGGCAGAAAUGAGUCAGAAAACCAGGCUUUAUUGAUUAUAAUGGAGCCACAGCAAACCCUGAUCAGUGGAUUUCUCAGAAGGCUAAUUCAGUCCAAAGAUCCAAAUUUAAUACCACAUGCAGGUCUUAGACAUGAUAGAGAAAAGAAAGUGCCUGGCCGAAGGCCAGGUCCCAGGUGAGAGAGAUAGAGGAGGAAAGGAAUUAAAGAUGGAGCUUGGCCAGAGGCCAACCCAGCAGUGCUAUGGCUGGAUCAAAGAGUAGACAUUCUUUUAUUGUCCUUUGGGCAUAGUUCCAAAUUGCCCUCCAGAAUGGUUGGAUCAGUUCACAACUCCACCAGCAAUGAAUUAAUGUCCCUACUUUGCCACACCCCCUCCAGCAUUCAUUACUUUCCUUUGCUAUCAUGUUAGCCAAUCUGCUAGGUGUGAGGUGAUACCUCAGAGUUGUUUUGAUUUGCAUUUCUCUGAUUAUAAGAGAUUUAGAAUACUUCUUCAUGUGCUUACUAAUAGUUUUGAUUUCUUUAUCUAAAAAUUGCCUAUCCAUGUCCCUUGCCUAUUUAUCAAUUGGAGAAUGGCUUGGAUUUUUGUACAAUAGAUUUAGCUCUUUAUAAAUUUGAGUAAUUAAACCUUUGUCAGAGGUUUUUAUGAAGAUUUUUUCCCAAUUUGUUGUUUGCCUUCUGAUUUUAGUUACAUUGGUUUUGUUUGCACAAAAGCCUUUUAAUUUGAUGUAGUUGAAAUUAUUUAUUUUACAUUUUGUGACUCUCUCUAUGUCUUGCUUGUUUUUAAAGUCUUUCCCCUCCCAAAGGUCUGACAUGUAUACUAUUCUGUGUUUACCCAAUUUACUUAUGGUUUCCUUCUUUAUGUUUAAGUCUUUCACCCAUUUUGAAUUUAUCUUGGUGUAGGGUGUCAGGUGUUGAUCAAUUCCUAAUCUCUCCCACACUGUCUUCUAAUUUUCCCAGCAGUUUUUAUCGAAUAGUGGAUUUUUGUCCCAAGACCUGGGAUCUUUGGGUUUAUCGUAUACUGUCUGGCUGAGGUCUCUUACCCCCAGUCUAUUCCACUGAUCCUCCUUUCUGUCCCUUAUCCAGUACCAAAUUGUUUUGAUGACUGCUGCUUUGUAAUAUAGUUUAAGGUCCGGGACUGCAAGGCCCCCAUCAUUUGUGUUUUUUUUUCAUUAUUUCCCUGGAUAUCCUUGAUCUUUUGUUAUUCCAAAUGAACUUUGUUAUUGUUUUUUCCAAAUCAGUAAAGAAAUAUUUUGGAAGUUCCAUGGGCAUGGCACUAAAUAGAUAAAUAAGUUUGGGUAGGAUGGUCAUUUUUAUUAUAUUGGCUCGUCCUACCCAUGAGCAGUUAAUGUUUUUCCAAUUGCUCAAGUCUAGUUUUAGUUGUGUGGUGAGUGUUUUGUAGUUAUGUUCUUAUAGUUCCUGUGUUUGUCUCGGGAGGUAGAUUCCUAGGUAUUUUAUUUUGUCUAAGGUGAUUUUGAAUGGGGUUUCUCUUUCUAGUUUUUGCUGCUGAGCUGUGUUGGAGAUAUAUAGAAAAGCUGAUGACUUAUGUGGGUUUAUUUUGUAUCCUGCAACUUUGCUAAAGUUGUUGAUUAUUUCAAUUAGCUUUUUGGUUGAAUCUCUAGGAUUCUUUAAGUAGACCAUCAUGUCAUCUGCAAAGAGUGAUAACUUGGUCUCCUCCUUGCCUAUUUUGAUGCCUUCAAUUUCUUUUUCUUCUCUAAUUGCUACUGCUAGUGUUUCUAGUACAAUGUCAAAUAGUGGAGGUGAUAAUGGGCAUCCUUGUUUCACUCCUGAUCUUAUUGGGAAUGCAUCUAGUUUAUCCCCAUUACAGAUGAUAUUAGCUGAUGGUUUUAGAUAUAUACUGUUUAUUAUUUUUAGGAAAGGCCCUUCUAUUCCUAUAUUUUCUAGUAUUUUCAAUAGGAAUGGGUGUUGUAUUUUAUCAAAGGCUUUUUCUGCAUCUGUUGGGAUAAUCAUGUGAUUUUUGUCAGUUUGCUUGUUAAUAUGGUCAAUUAUGUGGAUGGUUUUCCUAAUACUGAACCAGCCCUGCUUCCCUGGUAUAAAUCCUACUUGAUCAUGGUGGAUGACCCUUGUGAUGACUUGGUGGAGUCUUUUUGCUAGUAUCCUAUUUAAGAUUUUUGCAUCUAUAUUCAUUAGGGAGUUUAGUCUGUAGUUUUCUUUCUCCGUUUUUAACCUGCCUGGUUUUGGAAUUAGUACCAUGUUUGUGUCAUAAAAGGAGUUUGGUAGAACUCCCUCUUUGCUUAUUAUGUCAAAUAGUUUGUAUAAUAUUGGGAUUAACUGUUCUCUGAAUGUUUGAUAGAAUUCACUGGUGAAUCCAUCGGGCCCUGGGAAUUUUUUCUUAGGAAGUUCUUUGAUGGCCUGUUGGAUUUCAUUUUCUGAUAUGGGAUUAUUUAAGAAUUCUAUUUCUUCUUCUGUUAGUCUAGGCAGGUUGUAUUUUUGUAUAUAUUCAUCCAUAUCACCUAAAUUGGUGUAUUUAUUGCCAUAUAAUUGGGCAAAGUAAUUUUUAAUGAUUGCCUUAAUUUCCUCUUCAUUGGAGGUGAUGUCCCCCUUUUUGUCUUUGAUGCUGUUAAUUUGCUUUUCUUCUUUCCUUUUUUUAAUUAGAUUGACCAGCAUUUUGUCUAUUUUGUUUGUUUUUUCAAAGUACCAGCUUCUUUUCUUAUUUAUUAAAUCAAUAGUUCUAUCACUUUAGAUUUUAUUAAUUUCUCCCUUAAUUUUUAGGAUUUCUAGUUUGGUUUUCUGCUGGGAUUUUUAAAUUUGAUCGCUUUUUAGUUUUUUUAUUUGCAUUUCCAAUUGAUUGAUCUCUGCUCUCUCUAGUUUGUUGAUAUAUGCACUCAGGGAUUUGAAUUUACCUCUGAUUACUGCUUUGGCUGCAUCCCAAAAGGUUUGAAAGGAUGUCUCGCCAUUGUCAUUUUCCUCGGUGAAAUUAUUAAUUUUUUCUAUGAUUUCUUCUCUCACUAAACGAUUUUGGAGUAUCAUAUUGUUCAAUUUCCAAUUAGUUUUUGAUUUGGUUUUCCAUGUACAAUUACUGAUCAUUAUUUUUAUUGCCUUGUGAUCUGAAAAGGAUGCAUUUAUUAUUUCUGCUUUUCUGCAUUUGUGUGCCAUGUUUCUGUGACCUAAUGUAUGGUCAAUCUUUGUGAAUGUGCCAUGUGGUGCUGAGAAGAAGGUGUAUUCCUUUUUAUCCCUAUUUAUUUUUCUCCAUAUGUCUAUUAAUUCUAAUUUUUCUAAGAUUUCAUUCACUUAUUUUACCUCUUAUUUAUUUUUUGAUUUGAUUUAUCUAAAUUUGAUAAUGGUUGGUUUAAGUCUCCCACUAAUAUGGUUUUACUGUCUAUUUCAUCCUUCAAUUCUCCUAGUUUCUCCAUUAAAAAUUUGGGUGCUAUAUUAUUUGGUGCAUACAUGUUGAUUAGUGAUAUUUCCUCAUUAUCUAAAGUCCCUUUUAUCAAAAUAUAAUUACCUUCCCUAUCCCUUUUGAUCAGAUCUAUUUUUGCUUUGGCUUUAUCAGAUAUCAUGAUUGCAACUCCUGCCUUCUUUCUGUCAGUUGAGGCCCAGAAGGUCUUACUCCAUCCUUUAAUUCCGACCUUGUGGGUGUCUACCCGCCUCAUGUGUGUUUCUUGAAGACAACAUAUGGUAGGGUUUUGGAUUCUAAUCCAUUCUGCUAUUCCUCUAUGUUUUUUGGGUGAGUUCAUCACAUUCACGUUCAAAGUUAUGACCGUCACUGGUGGACUCCCUGGCAUUUUGAUAUCCUUCCCUAAUUCUAACCUUUCUUCUUCAGCUCUACCUUUUAGUCCAGUGAUUUACUUUAAAUCAGUUCCCCUUGUCCCCUCCCUUGAUAUGUUUCCCUUUCUAGUCCCUCCCUUUUUGUUCCCUCCCCUCCCCCCUCUUUUUCCCUCCCUUUUUUGUGUUCCCUCCCCUCCUCCCUUGGUUUUCCCUUCUCCCUUCCUUUGUUGGGUAAGAUAGAAUUCACGAUCCCAAUGGAUCUGGAUGUUCUUCCCUCUCAGAGUUGAUUUCCCUGAGAGUAAGGUUUAAGUAAAAACUCUCUUCCUCUCCUUCUUAUAGGAGUUUUCUUCCCCUCCCCUUCCCGUGUGAAUCUUUGUAUGAGAAAGAUUAUUCUAUUUGGUCUUUCUUUUCCCCCUAUUUACACAUUACAUUUUCCCCACAUGUUAGUAUACAUAGAUUGAUAUAAAUGUAGUCCUUAUAGAAGAGUGUUUGACAUGAUGGUCUACUUAAAGAAUCCUAGAGAUUCAACCAAAAAGCUAAUUGAAAUAAUCAACAACUUUAGCAAAGUUGCAGGAUACAAAAUAAACCCACAUAAGUCAUCAGCUUUUCUAUAUAUCUCCAACACAGCUCAGCAGCAAAAACUAGAAAGAGAAACCCCAUUCAAAAUCACCUUAGACAAAAUAAAAUACCUAGGAAUCUACCUCCCGAGACAAACACAGGAACUAUAAGAACAUAACUACAAAACACUCGCCACACAACUAAAACUAGACUUGAGCAAUUGGAAAAACAUUAACUGCUCAUGGGUAGGACGAGCCAAUAUAAUAAAAAUGACCAUCCUACCCAAACUUAUUUAUCUAUUUAGUGCCAUGCCCAUGGAACUUCCAAAAUAUUUCUUUACUGAUUUGGAAAAAACAAUAACAAAGUUCAUUUGGAAUAACAAAAGAUCAAGGAUAUCCAGGGAAAUAAUGAAAAAAAAACACAAAUGAUGGGGGCCUUGCAGUCCCGGACCUUAAACUAUAUUACAAAGCAGCAGUCAUCAAAACAAUUUGGUACUGGAUAAGGGACAGAAAGGAGGAUCAGUGGAAUAGACUGGGGGUAAGAGACCUCAGCCAGACAGUAUACGAUAAACCCAAAGAUCCCAGGUCUUGGGACAAAAAUCCACUAUUCGAUAAAAACUGCUGGGAAAAUUAGAAGACAGUGUGGGAGAGAUUAGGAAUUGAUCAACACCUGACACCCUACACCAAGAUAAAUUCAAAAUGGGUGAAAGACUUAAACAUAAAGAAGGAAACCAUAAGUAAAUUGGGUAAACACAGAAUAGUAUACAUGUCAGACCUUUGGGAGGGGAAAGACUUUAAAAACAAGCAAGACAUAGAGAGAGUCACAAAAUGUAAAAUAAAUAAUUUCAACUACAUCAAAUUAAAAGGCUUUUGUACAAACAAAACCAAUGUAACUAAAAUCAGAAGGAAAACAACAAAUUGGGAAAAAAUCUUCAUAAAAACCUCUGACAAAGGUUUAAUUACUCAAAUUUAUAAAGAGCUAAAUCAACUGUACAAAAAAUCAAGCCAUUCCCCAAUUGAUAAUUGGGCAAGGGACAUGGAUAGGCAGUUUUCAGAUAAAGAAAUCAAAACUAUUAAUAAGCACAUGAAGAAGUGUUCUAAAUCUCUUAUAAUCAGAGAAAUGCAAAUCAAAACAACUCUGAGGUAUCACCUCACACCUAGCAGAUUGGCUAACAUGACAGUUAUGGAAGGUAAUGAAUGCUGGAGGGGAUGUGGCAAAGUAGGUACAUUAAUUCAUUGCUGGUGAGUUGUGAAUCCAUCCAGCCAUUCUGGAGGGCAAUUUGGAACUAUGCACAAAGGGCGAUAAAAGAAUGUCUACCCUUUGAUCCAGCCAUAGCACUGCUGGGUCUGUACCCCAAAGAGAUAAUGGACAAAAAGACUUGUACAAAAAUAUUCAUAGCUGCACUCUUUGUGGUGGCCAAGCAUUGGAAAACGAGGGGAUGCCCAUCAAUUGGGGAAUGGCUGAACAAAUUGUGGUAUAUGUUGGUGAUGGAAUAUUAUUGUGCAAAAAGGAAUAAUAAAGUGGAGGAAUUCCAUGGAGACUGGAACGACCUCCAGGAAGUGAUGCAGAGCGAGAGGAGCAGAACCAGGAGAACAUUAUACACAGAGACAAACACACUGUGGUAUAAUCCAACGUAAUGGACUUCUCCAUUAGUGGCAGUGUAAUGUCCUUGAACAAUCUGCAGGGAUCUAGGAGAAAAAACACUAUCCAUAAGCAGAGGACAAACAGGGAGUAGAAACACCGAGGAAAAGCAACUGCCUGACUACAAUGGCUGAGGGGACAUGACAGAGGAGAGACUCUAAACGAAUACUCUAAUGCAAAUACUAACAACAUGGCAAUGGGUUCGAAUCAAGAACACAUGUGAUACCCAAUGGAAUUAUGUGUUGGCUACAGGGGGGUGGGAGGGAGGAAAAGAAAAUGAUCUUUGUCUUUAAUGAAUAUUGCAUGGAAAUGAUCAAA